rnacentral:rRNA from 1 species
GACGAACGCUGGCGGCGUGCCUAAUACAUGCAAGUAGAACGCUGAAGGAGGAGCUUGCUUCUCUGGAUGAGUUGCGAACGGGUGAGUAACGCGUAGGUAACCUGCCUGGUAGCGGGGGAUAACUAUUGGAAACGAUAGCUAAUACCGCAUAAGAGUAGAUGUCGCAUGACAUUUGCUUAAAAGGUGCAAUUGCCUCACUACCAGAUGGACCUGCGUUGUAUUAGCUAGUUGGUGAGGUAACGGCUCACCAAGGCAACGAUACAUAGCCGACCUGAGAGGGUGAUCGGCCACACUGGGACUGAGACACGGCCCAGACUCCUACGGGAGGCAGCAGUAGGGAAUCUUCGGCAAUGGACGGAAGUCUGACCGAGCAACGCCGCGUGAGUGAAGAAGGUUUUCGGAUCGUAAAGCUCUGUUGUAAGAGAAGAACGAGUGUGAGAGUGGAAAGUUCACACUGUGACGGUAUCUUACCAGAAAGGGACGGCUAACUACGUG